rnacentral:lncRNA from 7 species
GGUGUGAAUCUCUUUCUCUUCUCCAGGUCUGUGAUGUGAGUUGAGAUGUCCUAUCUGCAAGUUCCCCCCAGGCACGGACACGCAUGAAGAAGCAUUUCAGAGCUGGAGCCGCCUGCUUGGGUAGCGUGAGAUCUGCUAAGGGCUGAGUCCUCACUGCGGUUCGGAAUGUUGGAGAGGCUCUGGAUACUGCCAAGCUGGUGGUGCCCCAGCAUCCUUGUGAGGUCUGUUCCUUUAGCAAAUGUGUCUGAGGUUCAGGAGCUCCUUGGAAGAGGUGGUGGAGAGGAAGGGGCAAACAAACAGUGCUGCUGGGAGUGACUCACGUUCUUAGGAAUCCUGGCUGUAAAAAAUAACGAACCUACUCAUCGUUUUACAAAUGCUUUUACAAGCACUUAAACAUGGCUUGUGAAUGUGAAGUGUUGACCAAAAUGCUCUGAGUGUGAAAGCUUCAUGAAUCUGGACGAGAACACGUAGAGUGAUAAGGUAAUCUGUCCUGCAGUCACAGCGCUGUAAGCUGACCAUUGGUUUCACACCAGUGUAAAUGCAAGAAGAUGCUUUUUCCCUUCCCUUUCUCUUUCCCUUCCCUUUCCAUCCCUCCUCUUCCCUUCUUCUGGAUUUUUCAUAUUUUUUUUUUCCUUCCUUUUUUUUUUUUUUUUUUUUUUUCCCCCUGUUAUUGCUUGAGAAUUAGUGCGAACUUACUUCUUCAGGCUGAGAUAUAUUUUCUGCUGAGGAGAAACCCUGAGCUCCUGCCCCUGGAGGAAACCUGAUCAGAGGCAGGCUGCCCUGUGCACACAGCCCGGGUCCAUUGAUCUCCCCCGUCGCCUCUGCCCUCCCUGUCUGUGGGUUAUGGAAACAACGUCUGUCAGCAUCAGCCCUGCUUUCUGGGCUGGUUAUUAAGCUCUCUGGCAGAAGGGAGUCUGCUCACCCUUUAUGGGGUCUCAAGACCCACAACGAACUUUGCAAACCGAAGGGAAUUCCUGCAGGAAGUCUCCAUUUGUAUGCAAGGCCCCGUGCUUUCUUUAAGAAAGAAUUAGGACUCUCUAGCUGUGCAGGGGUUGAACAAAUCUAAUGAGAAAUGUGGCAGAUGUGCAUGUAAGUUCGGAGUUUGGGCAUAUAUCAAAUGCAUUUUCUCAUUGAAGCUCAGGGUGUGACCUGCCGCCUGACACCCUUAGUUUUAUGGCUUCACACAGGAGAAAAGAAUCAUAAUUUCAGCUACCGGGCAGGCAAAAAGUGAGAAAUCUUCAUCCUACUGUGACAAAUCCUGCGGGAAGCUGAACUCUGCCUUUCUUUGCCCCCCACAUUAACGGUUGCUUUAGUGCUGCCCCAAGGCUCUCCCACCAAAAUCCCAUCCCUGUGCUGGAGGUGCGGGUAGGAAAUCACUGCAACACAUUCAGGUUCUCUGAGCUGUGAUGGGAACGCCACGCUGGGGAUUUUUAGAUCAUGGAAAAACAAACUUCCCAUCAGCCUCCCUCAUUUUUUGUGCCUUGAAUGUGAACUAUUGGACAUCUCUGCCGUGGCUUCUCGCAUUGAACUGGGCUGUAUCCAAGGGGCUGUCAGGGUCCUCUCCAGGACAACGAUCUGUCACACUUUGUGCCUUGAAAUAGAACGUUAUAUUUUUGUUUAUCUGCCGGCAGCCCAUCCUGCCCCUUGAAUUCGCUUCUGCUGUGUUUUAAUAUCCUGCUCUUGAUCUCAGAUUAGCUAAAGUGAUGGUAUAUCUUUGAAAGUUCUGAGGGUCUUAUUUCAGGAAUGUGGUUGAGUCCCGCAAAGCAAUAUAUCAUAUCAAACUGGGCUGGAUCUAAAAUGGCCUUUGGAGAAAUUCAGCUUAUCCCUUGAGCAUUGUAACAUGCUGUUUGUUUUGAUUCCCUGCAUCACCAGGAUGCUUCAGAAAAAUGUACUCUUUACUC